rnacentral:lncRNA from 1 species
GGAGUAGGAUUUCAACCACGUGAAGUUAUUUUGUUUAUUUGGAUUUUUAAUCUGCGUUGGGUACUGCUAUUGGAACUCAGGUGUUCCAGGCUGUGUAAAGGGAUUGUUCUUCCCAAGCCCUUGGGCUGUUGCUGCAGGCGGAAGGGAGCGUUGCUCUUUUCCAAUCAUCUAAAAGCAUCUGAAAAAGCAAAGCUUUAUUUCCAAAACCAAAAGUUGGCUCUCAGGCUGUCCUGUAAUCCUGUUGUCCUGGAGCCUGGGCAUCCAGUCCUUGGAAAUGAGGUGAGAAGUGAUGUGUGGCUUUGGGUAAGAAGAAGUACCUGCCUGAAAUAACAGCACAUGACAUGGGCUAGUAAGGAAUAUUGCCUUCCAUUUUUUUUAUUAUUGGAAUCAAAAGUGCAGAGAAACAGAACAUUGACCCGAUCUGAAAUUCUAGGUGUUAAUAUUUGAUUUCUCUCUUGCUCAAAAGACAACAUGGCUGUCUGCAUUUCCGGAGUGACCUCACUUCCCUG